UACGAAGGGGGCAAGCGUUGUUCGGAAUUACUGGGCGUAAAGGGCGCGUAGGCGGUGCACUAAGUCAGGCGUGAAAGCCCUGGGCUCAACCCGGGAAUUGCGCUUGAUACUGGUGCGCUUGAAUGCAGGAGAGGUUGGUGGAAUUCCCAGCGUAGAGGUGAAAUUCGUAGAGAUUGGGAAGAACACCGGUGGCGAAGGCGGCCAAGUGGACUGGUAUUGACGCUGAGGCGCGAAAGCGUGGGGAGCAAACAGG
rnacentral:rRNA from 1 species